rnacentral:siRNA from 1 species
CGGUCGGCGAUACGCUCCUGGUCU